rnacentral:rRNA from 1 species
AUGGCGCGGGAGCUCCUUCGCUACCGCCCGGUUGGUGACCUCUACGAGUGGCUCGAGCGAAUCGCUGAGCUCGUCAGCGUUGCGCACGGGGGCUCCGCCGAGCCGGCUCGCUCGCUGCCUCAGCAACCACCUGCAGUUGGCGACGUGGCGCAUGGGGCUCCUCCACCACCUCCAGCCCAGGGUGCCAUCGUCGAGCCAAGGCGUGUGGCGCCACGGCGCGACCCGCCUCGCCCUGCACCGGCUCGGGAGGACGUGAGCUGCCAGGUGGUGCAGCGUCCCCAAGGAGAAGCGCACAUACUUCCAGCACCCCAGCACCACGCUCGCGUACCGCCGCAGGAGGUGGCGGUGCGCGUGCACCAAGACCAGUUUCCACCCCCUCGAAGACCUCCAGUGGCCACGGCAGGAUGCUGCGCGUUCACUCUGGAGCUUCGCAACGUCGUCUGGCCAAGCAAGUUCAAGCCUGACCUGCCUCCAUGCUACGACGGCACCGCCGACCCCGCCGAGUUCCUACAGCUCUACGAGCUGAGCAUCGAGGCGGCCAGCGGCGACGAGAAGAUCAUGGCAAAUUGGUUCCCGAUGGCCCUUAAGGAUGGCGCACGUUCUUGGCUCCUUAACCUACCCGAGGGGUCGGUUUCUUCCUGGGAGGAGAUGCGCGGCCGCUUCAUCGCCAACUUCUAG